GGUAAUGCCGGAUGCUCCGAUUCCUCGCAUGGGGUGUCGGGAAAGAUUUCAUCGGUAUGGGAUGGGGUCGCGUCCUAUCAGGUAGUCGGCGGGGUAACGGCCCACCGAGCCUACGACGGGUAGCCGGCCUGAGAGGGCGACCGGCCACAUUGGGACUGAGAUACGGCCCAGACUCCUACGGGAGGCAGCAGUGGGGAAUAUUGCACAAUGGGCGCAAGCCUGAUGCAGCGACGCCGCGUGCGGGAUGACGGCCUUCGGGUUGUAAACCGCUUUUGAUCGGGAGCAAGCCUUCGGGUGAGUGUACCUUUCGAAUAAGCACCGGCUAACUACGUGCCAGCAGCCGCGGUAAUACGUAGGGUGCAAGCGUUAUCCGGAAUUAUUGGGCGUAAAGGGCUCGUAGGCGGUUCGUCGCGUCCGGUGUGAAAGUCCAUCGCUUAACGGUGGAUCUGCGCCGGGUACGGGCGGGCUGGAGUGCGGUAGGGGAGACUGGAAUUCCCGGUGUAACGGUGGAAUGU
rnacentral:rRNA from 1 species